rnacentral:rRNA from 1 species
ACACAUGCAAGUCGAGGGGCAGCAUGGUCUUAGCUUGCUAAGGCCGAUGGCGACCGGCGCACGGGUGAGUAACACGUAUCCAACCUGCCGUCUACUCUUGGACAGCCUUCUGAAAGGAAGAUUAAUACAAGAUGGCAUCAUGAGUCCGCAUGUUCACAUGAUUAAAGGUAUUCCGGUAGACGAUGGGGAUGCGUUCCAUUAGAUAGUAGGCGGGGUAACGGCCCACCUAGUCUUCGAUGGAUAGGGGUUCUGAGAGGAAGGUCCCCCACAUUGGAACUGAGACACGGUCCAAGCUCCUACGGGAGGCAGCAGUGAGGAAUAUUGGUCAAUGGGCGAGAGCCUGAACCAGCCAAGUAGCGUGAAGGAUGACUGCCCUAUGGGUUGUAAACUUCUUUUAUAAAGGAAUAAAGUCGGGUAUGGAUACCCGUUUGCAUGUACUUUAUGAAUAAGGAUCGGCUAACUCCGUGCCAGCAGCCGCGGUAAUACGGAGGAUCCGAGCGUUAUCCGGAUUUAUUGGGUUUAAAGGGAGCGUAGAUGGAUGUUUAAGUCAGUUGUGAAAGUUUGCGGCUCAACCGUAAAAUUGCAGUUGAUACUGGAUAUCUUGAGUGCAGUUGAGGCAGGCGGAAUUCGUGGUGUAGCGGUGAAAUGCUUAGAUAUCACGAAGAACUCCGACUGCGAAGGCAGCCUGCUAAGCUGCAACUGACAUUGAGGCUCGAAAGUGUGGGUAUCAAACAGGAUUAGAUACCCUGGUAGUCCACACGGUAAACGAUGAAUACUCGCUGUUUGCGAUAUACUGCAAGCGGCCAAGCGAAAGCGUUAAGUAUUCCACCUGGGGAGUACGCCGGCA